rnacentral:rRNA from 1 species
GAUGAACGCUGGCGGCGUGCCUAAUACAUGCAAGUCGAGCGAACAGACGAGGAGCUUGCUCCUCUGACGUUAGCGGCGGACGGGUGAGUAACACGUGGAUAACCUACCUAUAAGACUGGGAUAACUUCGGGAAACCGGAGCUAAUACCGGAUAAUAUAUUGAACCGCAUGGUUCAAUAGUGAAAGACGGUUUUGCUGUCACUUAUAGAUGGAUCCGCGCCGCAUUAGCUAGUUGGUAAGGUAACGGCUUACCAAGGCAACGAUGCGUAGCCGACCUGAGAGGGGUGAUGGCCACAACGGGAACGAGAACAGGUCCAGAACCCUACGGGAGGGAGGCGUAGGGAAUUCUCCGGCAAGGGGGAAAACCUGAACGGGCAAACGCGGGUGAGGUAAGAAGGUCCUUCGAUUCGUAAAACCUGUUAAUUGGGAAAAAACAAAUGGUAAGUAAACAUGCACGGUCUGAAGGUAACCAAUUAGAAAGCCACGGCUAAAUAACUG